UACGAAGGGGGCUAGCGUUGCUCGGAAUCACUGGGCGUAAAGCGCACUAGGCGGAUCUUUAAGUCAGGGGUGAAAUCCUGGAGCUCAACUCCAGAACUGCCUUUGAUACUGGAGAUCUCGAGUCCGGAAGAGGUGAGUGGAACUCCGAGUGUAGAGGUGAAAUUCGUAGAUAUUCGGAAGAACACCAGUGGCGAAGGCGGCUCAACUGGUCCGGUACUGACGCUGAGGUGCGGAAAGCGUGGGGAGCAAACAGGG
rnacentral:rRNA from 1 species